CAAUACAAUUCACCCCUAGAGGAUUUUAUCAAUGGACGUAGGUCAAGUGACCGAACCACUUUAAUCUCUUGUCUCUUAUUUGUCUCUGAUCCUAACUCUUAUCAUAAAUCUAAUAAGUUUCUCUUUCUAAAAACUUCAUCUUCAUACCCUAACGAAAUAAGAUUAAAGGACCUACGGGAAAUUAUUUAUAGAUGGCAAGGGAACUGGAGACUAAUUAGAUACGUUUUUAUCAACAACAACAAAGGACUGAGACCACAAAGGAGCAAGCAGGUAAAGUUUAACGAGGAAGGAAAUAUGAAGAAGAAGAAGAAACAAAAUAAGAAGAAGAGCGUCAGAGGUGGUACGAUUUGUAACACUGGUGAGACUGAUAACACAAGUAAUGUUGGUAUUCUUUCACUUAAUUAUGAUACAAUAGCAAUUGAGAUACUUAGCAUACUCCCAGUGAAAUCUCAAUCACAUACUCCCACCUUAUUAACUUAAAGAUGGGUUGGCUCAUUUCGUGGUCUAUGUACCUUCUGAAUUGUGCACUUUCUGCUUCAAAUAUCAUUGAAUUGUAUUGAUCAGUGGAAUGAUCAAACCACUUUUGGUAGUUGCAUCUUGGGUUUAAUCUUAUGACAUUUAAGUGUGUCUGUAAACAUUGGCGUUCCUUAAUUGAAGAAAUGUAAGAUCAUGAUUGGUAUUGUUCGUUUUCUGGUUAAUAAUGAUCGAAGGUCACUAGAGAGGGUAUAUAUGGCACGAUUCGGAACUGGAAACUCAGUGGAUCAGCUGAGUCUCGACUCGCGCAUGAUUGAUACCUUGUUGAUGAGUUCAGCUAUUCCGGAAAGCGGAGACUCGAGUGUGCGGGCAGAGAAAAUUUCUGAAGAUUUGAACGGACAACUCUUGGUUUUCUCACAUUCCUCCUUUUUCUUUUCAAGUUUGAGUGAACAGGUGGAAUGUCUUUUUCAUUCAUGAUUGAUGGCUUAACAAUCAUAUUAACAUCUUUUCCAGCAGAAGUUAUGAUGCUUGGAGUCUCCAUAUUUGUCAUAGGAAAUUCUCAGAACAAGCUCUACAAGAAAACUUGUGAUAAAAGAGUUUCUUA